AACGAACGCUGGCGGCAUGCCUAACACAUGCAAGUCGAACGAGACCUUCGGGUCUAGUGGCGCACGGGUGCGUAACGCGUGGGAAUCUGCCCUUGGGUUCGGGAUAACAGUUGGAAACGACUGCUAAUACCGGAUGAUGUCUUCGGACCAAAGAUUUAUCGCCCAAGGAUGAGCCCGCGUAGGAUUAGCUUGUUGGUGAGGUAAGAGCUCACCAAGGCGACGAUCCUUAGCUGGUCUGAGAGGAUGAUCAGCCACACUGGGACUGAGACACGGCCCAGACUCCUACGGGAGGCAGCAGUGGGGAAUAUUGGACAAUGGGCGAAAGCCUGAUCCAGCAAUGCCGCGUGAGUGAUGAAGGCCUUAGGGUUGUAAAGCUCUUUUACCCGGGAUGAUAAUGACAGUACCGGGAGAAUAAGCCCCGGCUAACUCCGUGCCAGCCGCCGCCGUAA
rnacentral:rRNA from 1 species